UACAGAGGUCUCAAGCGUUGUUCGGAUUCAUUGGGCGUAAGGGGUGCGUAGGCGGCGCGGUAAGUCGGGUGUGAAAUCUCGGAGCUUAACUCCGAAACUGCAUUCGAUACUGCCGUGCUUGAGGACUGGAGAGGAGACUGGAAUUUACGGUGUAGCGGUGAAAUGCGUAGAUAUCGUAAGGAAGACCAGUGGCGAAGGCGGGUCUCUGGACAGUUCCUGACGCUGAGGCACGAAGGCCAGGGGAGCAAACGGG
rnacentral:rRNA from 1 species